rnacentral:rRNA from 1 species
UACGUAGGUGACAAGCGUUGUCCGGAUUUACUGGGCGUAAAGAGCGCGCAGGCGGUCGAUCAAGUCGAGUGUGAAAGCCCCCGGCUCAACUGGGGAGGGUCAUUCGAAACUGGUCGACUCGAAGGCAGGAGAGGGUAGUGGAAUUCCCGGUGUAGUGGUGAAAUGCGCAGAUAUCGGGAGGAACACCAGUGGCGAAGGCGACUACCUGGCCUGUUCUUGACGCUGAGGCGCGAAAGCUAGGGGAGCAAACGGG